rnacentral:rRNA from 1 species
UAACAGCAUGCAAGGGGAACGGUAACGGACCGUUGGGAUUSCUUCGGGAUGACCUUGGUGCCGACGAGUGGCGGACGGGUGAGUAACACGUAGGAAUCUGCCCAACAGAGGGGGACAACCCGGAGAAAUCCGGGCUAAUACCGCAUACGCCCUAUUGGGGAAAGCGGGGGAUCUUCGGACCUCGCGCUGUUGGAGGASCCUGCGUCGGAUUAGCUUGUUGGUGAGGUAAUGGCUCACCAAGGCUACDAUCCGUAKCUGGUCUGAGAGGAUGAUCAGCCACACUGGGACUGAGACACGGMCCABACUCCUACGGGAGGCAGCAGUGGGGAAUAUUGCACAAUGGGCGAAAGCCUGAUGCAGCCAUACCKCGUGUGUGAAGAAGGCCUUCGGGUUGUAAAGCACUUUCGUUAGGGAAGAAAGGUGCGAAGUUAAUAACUUCSGUACUGUGACGGUACCUAAAUAAGAAGCACCGGCUAACUCCGUGCCAGCAGCCGCSGUAAUACGGAGGGUGCAAGCGUUAAUCGGAAUCACUGGGCGUAAAGCGCKCGUAGGCGGCUUGGUAMSUCAGAUGUGAAAGCCCCGGSCUCAACCUGGGAAUUGCAUUUGAUACUGCCAAACUAGAGUGUAGUAGAGGGAAGUKGGAAUUCCGAAGUGUAGCCGGUGAAAUGCCGUUAUAUAUUCGGAGGAACAAUCAGUGGCGAAGGCGACYUUCYUGGACYUAACMCUGACCGCUUGAGGUGCCAAAAG